rnacentral:rRNA from 1 species
AGGAUGAACGCUAGCGGCAGGCUUAACACAUGCAAGUCGAGGGGCAGCACGUCUUCGGAUGGUGGCGACCGGCGCACGGGUGAGUAACGCGUAUGCAAUCUACCUUUUACUGGGGCAUAGCCCGGGGAAACCCGGAUUAAUAUCCCAUGGUACCAUGAUAUAGCAUUAUAUUUUGGUUAAAGCUUCGGCGGUAAAAGAUGAGCAUGCGUCCUAUUAGCUUGAUGGUAAGGUAACGGCUUACCAUGGCUUUGAGUAGGUAGGGGUCCUGAGAGGGACGACCCCCACACGUGGUACUGAGACACGGACCAGACUCCUAGGGAGCAGCAGUGAGGAAUA